GAUUUCGCGCCCGCCGCUUCCCCCUCCCUCCCCGCCGCGCAGCCCGAUGACGUCACGCCCGCCGGCUCCGGAGCAGUCUCGCGAGAGUUCCGGCGAAGUCUCGCGAGGUUUCGUUGCUUGGCUUGGAAGAGGGGGGGAGGGGACCCAGGCGUCCGGGCAGCGACUUCACCCCCCAACGGGGGGGACCCAGGCGUCCGGGCCGUCCUGGAGCAGUGACACCGGGGCCACGGGGGUGCCUGGACGCCGGGGCCCCUGGUUCCCGGACACCGGGGCCCCUCAUUGCCCGGACACAGCGGGGUCGCAGUUCCCGGACGCCUGGGCCCCUCACUGCCCGGACUCCGGGACCCCUGGUUCCCGGAUGCCAGGGCCCUUCAUUACCCGGAGGCGGGGGGUCCCGGUUCCCAGAUGCCAGGGCCCCUCGCUGCCUGGAUGCGGAGGGUCCUGGUUCCGGGACGCCUGGGCCCCUCAUUGCCCGGACACGGGGGGGGUGCCGGUUCCCGGACGCUGGGGCCCCUCGCUGCCCAGACUCCAGGGCCCCUGGUUCCCAGACUCCAGGGCCCCUCAUUGCCCAGAUGCCGGGGGGUCCCGGUUCCCGGAUGCUGGGGCCCCUCGCUGCCCGGAUGUGGAGGGUCCUGGUUCCUGGAUGCCGGGGCCCCUCAUUGCCCGGACACGGGGGGGUCCCGGUUCCCAAACUCCAGGACUCUUCGCUGCCCGGAUGCCAGGGCCCCUCGCUGCCCGGAUGCGGAGGGUCCCGGUUCCCGGACGCCUGGGCCCCUCAUUGCCCGGACACAGGGGGGUCCCAGUUCCCGGACGCCGGGGCCCCUCAUUGCCCGGAUGCAGGGGGUCCCAGUUCCCAGACGCCUGGGCCCCUCGCUGCCCGGAUGCGGGAGGGUCCCAGUUCCCGGACGCCGGGGCCCCUCGCUGCCCGGACGCCUGGGCCCGGCGCUAGAGGCGGACGAUGCCCAGGAAGGUGCCGUGGGCGCUGAGGUCGAAGGAGGCGUUGGCCCGCGGCACCCGCAGGCGCAGGCGGUCGCCACUGCGCAGCCGGAACACGCCUGCGACACGCCGCGCACACGGGGGGACACACACGCACACGGGGGGACAGCACACGGGGGGACACGCACACGGGGACACGCACAUGCACACGCCAUGCACAUGGGGACAUGGANNNNNNNNNNNNNNNNNNNNNNNNNNNN
rnacentral:lncRNA from 1 species